GCCGACACAUUCCAGCCAAUCAGCAGCAGACCCUCCCUCCCAGACCCUCCCAUCUCCUGGACAGCAUCCAUUGUGAAGCUGCAUUCUUAGUGAGCUGUCCAGGAGGUGGGAGGGUCUGGGAGGGAGGGUCUGCUGCUGAUUGGCUGGAAUGUGUCUG